CUACCCAGCAAUUUCAAUCUUCUACAAGUAAGACAAAGUUUUUUCUAUUUGUUCUUUUUCUAGUUUGGGAAGUUAUCGGUUAGACAGUUAUCACAACACCUUAGCACCACAAAGCUUGACAAAAGAAAGCCACACAAAAUGUUUUCUUCCGUCCUCUGUUUUGCUUCUACAUCUAGGCUCUAGCCGGCCCCCGUACAAAGUACAAACAGAAACACAUCAACGACCAUACGUAGAUUUGACCCUUCUAAAACAUGGCAGAAAUCAAAUUCAUAUCAGAAAGCUUUGCAAAACCAAAAUAUGAGGUUGAAGAUGCAAAACAACCUUACUAUUUAUCCCCUAUUGAAUUAGCCAUGUUAUCCAUUGAUCCUAUACAAAAAGGUCUCCUUUAUUCCCUUAAUAACUCUAGUAAUGAAGUUAAUUACGAUCGAACCAAAGUUAUAUCUCAUCUCUUAGAGAAGCUUAAACACUCACUUUCCUUAGCCCUUGUUCAUUUCUACCCAUUAGCCGGCCGUUUCGCUACACGAAAAUAUCCCGACGAGCACGCUUGUUCGGUCUUUGUCGAUUGUACCAAGGGCCCCGGAGCUAGGCUUAUCCAUGCUUUCGCCGUAGACGUUACUAUAUCUGAUAUUAUGUCUUCCAUUGAUGUUCCAACAAUAUAUAGUUAGAUCUUUCUUUGAGCUCGGUGAAAAAAUGGUUAAUCAUGAUGGUCAUACGAGGGCUUUGUUAUCGAUCCAAGUAACAGAACUCCUAGAUGGGGUGUUUAUAGGGUUUACUAUGAACCAUAGUGUAGUAGAUGGUACCUCUUUUAUCCAUUUGCUUAACAUGUUAUCCGAAUUGUUUAGAUUAGAAGAUCAAUUUUGUGAUGACACUACCACCCUAAAAAUUUCACGUGUGCGGUGUGCCCAUAUUUAAUUAUAAGCCGUGGAUAGAUAGUACUAUUUGUGAUACGCCACUGCUUAAGCUGCCCUAUUUGGAGCCGGAAGAGUUCAUAUUCCAUGGAUAUGAGCCCGGCCCAUUAAGGGAGCAGAUAUUCCACUUCUCAACUACGUCGUUGGCUACUCUAAAGUCGAAGGCUAACCAAGAAUGUGGGACCCACAACGAGAUAUCCUCGUUCCAAGCCUUGAGUGCUCUUGUGUGGAGGUCUAUAACUCGUGUUAGGAACCUAUCAAAGGAUGAAAGGACCUGUUGUAAUAUGUUAAUUAACGCUAGGAGUAGAUUUGAUCCACCUAUAUCUGAUGAUUACUUUGGAAAUUUACUUGGUGGAUCACAAUUGGUUGUCAAUGUGGAGGAACUGUUGGGCCAUGACUUGGGUUGGGCUGCAAUGAAAUUGCACAAAACCAUUAUGGGCCAGGACGGAGAAACAAUCUGUGGCCAGUAUAAGGGAUUAGCUAUAUCCCCAAUGGUGUUUCAGCGUGGUGUUGGACCAGAUAUCCACGGCCCACAUAGCGUGGUUAUAGGAGGUUCGGCGAGGUUUGAUAUUUAUGGGCCUGAAUUUGGGCUGGGCCGACCUCUGGUUGCUCUCAUGGGCUAUGCAAGUAAAGAUGAUGGAAAGGUGACAGCAAAUCCGGGUUGUAAAGGGGGAGGAAGUGUGGAUUUGGAAAUUAGCCUAAAGCCUCAUUAUAUGGCUGCCCUUGAACUUGAUUAUGAGUUCAUGAGUUAUGUUUCAUUGCAUUGAGGAACUAACUAGUUUCCUGCAAUCAAAUUUUCUUAUAAUGCAUCUAGAUUAGUAACGAGGUUUCAAAGAUUUGGAUAAUAAAGAGGAAAGACCAAGAGGAAGUUUUUGGUCCUUCUAAGCUCUAGCUCAAAUUAUUUGCUCUACUUUUCAAUUUAGGACCAGGGGCGGACCCACGUGGGGUCUUGGGUGGCACGUGCCCCACCAUUAUUUUUUUUAAAAAAAAAUUAGUUUAAAAAAAAAGCAAAAUAAAAAAAACGUGUACAGCUCUUCACCUUUCAGUGUAAUACACUACACUACUACACUCCUUAUACAGUAAUAUUGGAAUUCCCAAUCCCAAGUCCCACUCGACCACUUUAUAAAACAUUAAAACCUAAAAAAGUACUUUUAGAAACCUACUGCUAGACCUGCUAACUUACCUGCAAUUCUGCAAACCUAAAAAAGAGUGUUAUGUGUCACAAACUCACGGUUAUAGGCAAGUACUCUGUUUCUUUCUUGGAAUCUCCGGUUUUCUUUUCCCA